CCUGGCCAGAAUCCACAGAGGAGGGCGCCAAAUCCUCUCUCGUGAGAUCUGCCCUUCUCACGAAACUUGCGCUUGCUUCCUCUCGCGGUCCCAGCAGGCAGCUGAUUGUUUAGAUGGAGAGACCACAGGGGAGAGUUACCUGUUGCUGUGGGAGCAAUGAGGAGUUAUGGAGGAAAGGAGAGGUACCAAGACCAGGUCUGUGCCCUGUGACCCAGAGGCAGCCUUGGGAGGGGCGUCUGUCUAGGAAGAGCCACAGCCAGGCUGACAUGGGCAGGACCCCCUGGACCUGGCCUCCAUAGCCCCAUGCCAGCCGGGGUGCCAGGUGCAGACCCCUGGCCUGGUGACAGCUCAGACAGUGCCAGAAAGCCCAGGAGGGUCGGACCCUAGGGGACGGCAGGGUGCAUCUCAGGAAAGGUUUAAACACUGUAGCACACCCAAAGAAUGGUGUGAGCCCAGAGGUUUCAUUCCUGAAGACAUCAUGGCCAAUAACUGAGAUCCCUGAGAGCUGGACUCUGGGCGCCCUCAGUUUCGAUGUCUUGGAUGCGAAUCAGGCCACAGAAGUGCCCUUAUCUCCACCACUGUGUUCUCCAUUUAUCCCCAUUGAACUUGCCAAGCUCAGCAACAUCCUGCAGGACACCAACCUCACGGGCUGGGUCUACGACCCCGGGCAGCUUCUGUGCGGGUUCCUGGUUCCUCCCUUUGUGUCUCUGGGCUGCACCAGUUUGACCCUGAUGUGAAAUCUGAUGCCUCUGUCAGUUUGUACAAUGCGGUUUACAAUAAAGCAUUUGACAGCAAUGCUUAAUUUACCA
rnacentral:lncRNA from 1 species